UACGAAGGGGACUAGCGUUGUUCGGAAUUACUGGGCGUAAAGCGCACGUAGGCGGAUUUGUUAGUCAGGGGUGAAAUCCCGGGGCUCAACCUCGGAACUGCCUUUGAUACUGCAAGUCUCGAGUCCGAUAGAGGUGGGUGGAAUUCCUAGUGUAGAGGUGAAAUUCGUAGAUAUUAGGAAGAACACCGGUGGCGAAGGCGGCCCACUGGAUCGGUACUGACGCUGAGGUGCGAAAGCGUGGGGAGCAA
rnacentral:rRNA from 1 species